AGCGAACACUGGCGGCAGGCCUAACACAUGCAAGUCGAACGGACCCUUCGGGGUUAGUGGCGGACGGGUGAGUAACACGUGGGAACGUGCCUUUAGGUUCGGAAUAGCUCCUGGAAAAGGGUGGUAAUGCCGAAUGUGCCCUACGGGGGAAAGAUUUAUCGCCUUUCGCGCGGCCCGCGUCUGAUUAGCUAGUUGGUGAGGUAAUGGCUCACCAAGGCGACGAUCAGCAGCUGGUCUGAGAGGAUGACCAGCCACACUGGGACUGAGACACGGCCCAGACUCCUACGGGAGGCAGCAGUGGGGAAUCUUGCGCAAUGGGCGAAAGCCUGACGCUGCCAUGCCGCGUGAAUGAUGAAGGUCUUAGGAUUGUAAAAUUCUUUCACCGGGGACGAUAAUGACGGUACCCGGAGAAGAAGCCCCGGCUAACUUCGUGCCAGCCGCCGCUGUAA
rnacentral:rRNA from 1 species